GAAGGUACCUAUUCUUGACUCUUCUGCGUCAUUCUGCUCUCUCUCAUCUAAAUCCAAAAAAUUAGAUUGCAGCUUCUCAAACUCUCUCUCUUGCACCGCCACCAUCAGGCCGCAGCUGCUCGAAGGCUGGGUCUCCAAAGAGGUCAUUUUGUAAAAUGCUCUCAACUUAAGCGAUGGAAAAAUCUACCAAAAAACGCAAGAUUUCAGUAUUCAAAUUAUGGGUUCUCUCAGACUUCACAAUUGUUGGAUCUGGGUUCUCUUCAAACUUCACAAUCCGCCAGAAAACUCAAGCUUUUGGUGUGCUGCAGAUGUUGGUUUAUUGCUCUUUGCAUACACUUUGCCUUUGAGCUACUAAGUACGUCAAGGACAAUUUUCUUGUACGCUUCUGAUGAAAGAUAGAAAGGACUCCUUCAACAUGGAACAUAGAGAUGUGAUUAGAGUUCCUACCGGGCUUCUAUUUACUUAAUUAACAAUAACAAUGAUGAACCUCUUCACAUUGCAAAGCUCAUCCGUUUUGUUAACAGUUUUGGACGAUUUGAGGAAUUCUGCCCUACUGGUUUUGGAAAUCCCAAGUCAUACUUCAACAUUUCAGCGAUGACAUUAUUGAAUUUGCCUUCAAUACUCCAAGAAAAGAGCCAAGAGCAGGACUUUAGACAACAAAGGGGCAAACAAAAGGGUCAAGGCAUAGUCAUGAGCUCCCCAAAAGAGCAACUUGAGGCACUAUUUGGCUGAUCACCUAGGAUUGGUACCUGUAACCACUGCACAUGUAUAGUUUCUUUUUAUAUUACCUUGAAUUGAUGAAAAAUAGUGCUUUUUUUCUCUGCCACAAUUCUUUUUGGUUC